ACCAUAUACAUUGCCAUUAUAUGCAAACGGGUCCAAUAUUAAAUGGCCAUAUUCACACAUAAGCAAUCAUGAUACAAACCAAAUUACAAUUAAUGCAAACAAAUCUAACACAUGCCUAACAUUCUACCAUAGCAGUGCAAACAUACCUCACAAUAAACCUGCAGCAAACAUUGCAAACCAACUUAGGCCAAACCAUACAACCUACCAUCAUGCAUCAAUCAUCAAACAACAGGCCAAACCAUC
rnacentral:lncRNA from 1 species